rnacentral:rRNA from 1 species
GAUGAACGCUGGCGGCGUGCCUAAUACAUGCCAGUCGAGCGAACGGACGAGAAGCUUGCUUUUCUGAUGUUAGCGGCGGACGGGUGAGUAACACGUGGAUAACCUACCUAUAAGACUGGGAUAACUUCGGGAAACCGGAGCUAAUACCGGAUAAUAUUUUGAACCGCAUGGUUCAAAAGUGAAAGACGGUCUUGCUGUCACUUAUAGAUGGAUCCGCGCUGCAUUAGCUAGUUGGUAAGGUAACGGCUUACCAAGGCAACGAUGCAUAGCCGACCUGAGAGGGUGAUCGGCCACACUGGAACUGAGACACGGUCCAGACUCCUACGGGAGGCAGCAGUAGGGAAUCUUCCGCAAUAGGCGAAAGCCUGACGGAGCAACGCCGCGUGAGUGAUGAAGGUCUUCGGAUCGUAAAACUCUGUUAUUAGGGAAGAACAUAUGUGUAAGUAACUGUGCACAUCUUGACGGUACCUAAUCAGAAAGCCACGGCUAACUACGUG